rnacentral:lncRNA from 1 species
AUGUGCUUUCUAAAUACAGCCUUCAAGCUUCGCUGCGAUAUGAAGUCUGAGAGUUUCUAUCGUACACAUGCGUCAUGUUCACUUUCAACUGGCUUGAGUCAGAAUGUUGAAGCAUAUGCUUUUCACUGUUAUCAAAGGACAGCUAGAAGAUCAAACUAUUCACAUACUGUUACUAUUAAGAGUCUUCUAAAAGUACUGGCUUGUCUGAGGAGCUGCACAUCAUGAGUGCUGGUUUUACACCCUCACUGCAGGCUUAAAUGAAUUACAGAAUACUCAUAUGUUUGUGUGCUUAUACCGUUGUUCUCACUGGGAAUUUUGCUGGCUACCCCCGAGCUUGCAGAAAUCGUCAUAAGGUAACUCAGACUAAAAUCAAAAAGGAGGGCACCGGUGAAAGUUAUAAGGUGCUUUUCAAGAUCACAUUUUUUUCCCGUUUUUCAACCUACGGCAACUAAAUGUUCUCAUCUUGUCAUUAGCUUGAUAAUGAGUUCCUUAUACUGUUCUCGUUUUUUGUUAUAGUGUGCACACAUAUGAGUCUACCUCAAACUUUGUUGAAAAUCCCACCGGCUGAAAAGCAGUAGUGCUGCUGCUUCUGUG